CACGUGGUUCAUAGACCCACGUGGGUAUCGUGACUAUCGUCGUUCCCUGGUCGUAUCGAAGAAGAACCGUACAUAUCGAGCAUAAUUUUUAUGAAACUUUGUCGAAAUAAAAUAGUUAUGCUAUGCAAAAGGAUAGGUUAGUAUUAAAUUUAGCUAUUUUUAACGUUUAUGCACUGUUCUUGUCAAUUUCUAGCCGUGUUUUGAAACGUGCUGCAAAUUCAUUGAAUUUUAUACACUUCGCCACCCAUUCAAGCGCUUCGUUCUCACUUUAAAAUAGUCGCUUUUUCCAUUCGUAUUUCUCCCAAAUUUUCUUGCAAUAAUGUUCCGAAAUACCCCCAGCUUUGAUUGAUAUAACUCAUAUUUGUUUUAUCUGCUGUUUCAGGACAACAAUUGGACAGGAAAGUUAACAAAGUUUAGUGAUAAGUCGCCGACCCGAAGCACGUGCACGUGG